rnacentral:rRNA from 1 species
UUCCGGUUGAUCCUGCCGGACCCCACUGCUAUCGAGGUGGGACUAAGCCAUGCUAGUCGAACGACCCGGACUAUGGCGGGGAGUGGCAGACUGCUCAGUAACACGUAGCUAACCUACCCUUGGGACGGGUACAACCCCGGGAAACUGAGGUUAAUACCCGAUAGGUGUGGAAUCCUGGAAUGGUACCACGCCCAAAUGUAAGCGCAUCCAUGUUUGCGUGCACGCCCGAGGAUGGGGCUGCGGCCGAUCAGGCAGUUGGUGAGGUAACGGCUCACCAAACCUUUGACCGGUACGGGCCAUGAGAGUGGUAGCCCGGAGAUGGGCACUGAGACAAGGGCCCAGGCCCUACGGGGCGCAGCAGGCGCGAAACCUCCACAAUUCACGAAAGUGAGAUGGGGUUACCUCGAGUGCCAUCUGAAGAAGGUGGCUUUUCCAUGGUGUAAUGAGCCGUGGGAAUAAGGGGGGGGCAAGACUGGUGUCAGCCGCCGCGGUAACACCAGCCCCCCGAGUGGUGGGGAUGUUUAUUUGGCCUAAAGCGUCCGUAGCCGGCCCGGUAAAUCUCUCGUUAAAUCCAGCGUCCUAAGCGUUGGGCUGCGAGAGAGACUGCCAAGCUAGAGGGUGGGAGAGGUCAGCGGUAUUUCUGGGGUAGGGGCGAAAUCCAUUGAUCCCAGGAGGACCACCAGUGGCGAAGGCUGCUGACUAGAACACGCCUGACGGUGAGGGACGAAAGCUGGGGUAGCGAAUCGGAUUAGAUACCCGAGUAGUCCAGCCGUAACGAUGCAUGCUAGGUGUUGGGUUGUCACGUGCCACUCAGUGCUACAGGGAAGCCAUUAGCCUGCUGCCUGGGAGUACGGC